rnacentral:rRNA from 1 species
GACGAACGCUGGCGGCGUGCUUAACACAUGCAAGUCGAACGGUGAAGGGAAGCUUGCUUCCCGGAUCAGUGGCGAACGGGUGAGUAACACGUGGGCAAUCUGCCCCAGACUUUGGGAUAACUACUCGGAAGAGUAGCUAAUACCGAAUAUUCAGCCUUGCAGGCAUCUGCGAGGCUGGAAAGUUUCUCGGUCUGGGAUGAGCCCGCGGCCUAUCAGCUAGUUGGUGAGGUAAUGGCUCACCAAGGCGACGACGGGUAGCCGGCCUGAGAGGGCGACCGGCCACACUGGGACUGAGACACGGCCCAGACUCCUACGGGAGGCAGCAGUGGGGAAUAUUGCGCAAUGGGCGAAAGCCUGACGCAGCAACGCCGCGUGCGGGAUG